rnacentral:tRNA from 1 species
UACCCGGUGGUGUAAUCGGCAACACUCGAGGUUUUGAUCCUCGCAUUCCAGGUUCAAGUCCUGGCCGGGUAG